rnacentral:ncRNA from 1 species
UGUGCGGGACGACCCGUACAUGCUGCUUUUUUCAGGGACGCCCCU